rnacentral:tRNA from 1 species
GGUGUAGUUCAGUUGGUUAGAGCGUCAGAUUGUGGUCCUGAAUGUCGUGGGUUCAAGUCCCACUACC